AUUUAUGGAGGCUGUACGCAGGAGGCCUUCGGGCCUGCCGGGUAUGGUCCUUCCCGGUUUUCCACCCUGUGUCCAGCCGCCACCUUC
rfam:Pseudomonas putida CSV86 contig00126, whole genome shotgun sequence.